CAAACGACUCUCGGCAACGGAUAUCUCGGCUCACGCAUCGAUGAAGAACGUAGCAAAAUGCGAUACUUGGUGUGAAUUGCAGAAUCCCGUGAACCAUCGAGUUUUUGAACGCAAGUUGCACCCGAAGCCAUUCGGCUGAGGGCACGUCUGCCUGGGCGUCACGC
rnacentral:rRNA from 1 species